rnacentral:lncRNA from 1 species
UUUUUGUCUAGGAUGGCCGUGUAAAGAGUCACGACUUUUGAGACGCAUCCUAAUAGUCUUAUUGUAUUAUAUUUUGAUUUUGAGAUUCAUCGUAAGUUGUUUUUGUUCCCUUUUCUUUGAAUUACUCAAAUAUGUGAACUCUCCACUUGGUUAUUAAGUUAUUUAAUUGUUUACUCAUUUAACAGGUAUUAUUGAAUCAUUCUUCACACACACACUAUGACACAUACUAGUGGGUUGUAAGUUAAAAUUUUACAGCAUUUAGUUCUUUUGAUUUAUUAGGAACGAGUAAUUAAGUCCGUAGGGGUGUUUCAACACCUAGUGCCCUAAGGUCAACUGGUCUGGGAGUCACUGGCCUAAAGCUCGCUACAUGGGUAAUAGAUAUAUUGUUUGUUUAUUAGAAACCCGAGUAAUUAAGUCCGUAGGGGUGCUUCAACACCUAGUGCCCUAAGGCCAACUGGUCUGGGAGUCACUGGCCUAAAGCUCGCUACAUGGGUAAUAGAUAUAUUGUUUGUUUAUUAGAAACCCGAGUAAUUAAGUCCGUAGGGGUGUUUCAACACCUAGUGCCCUAAGGUCAACUGGUCUGGGAGUCACUGGCCUAACGCUCGCUACAUGGGUAAUAGAUAUAUUGUUUGUUUAUUAGAAACCCGAGUAAUUAAGUCCGUAGGGGUGCUUCAACACCUAGUGCCCUAAUGCCAACUGGUCUGGGAGUCACUGACCUAAAGCUCGCUACACGGGGUUAGAAAUGUAAUAUAUAAAAUAAAAAAUGUGUGAAUAAUCUAUUGCCUAAAGAUAUAAUUUCUAAUGAAUUUUAGAAGGAAAAUGUUGUUUUUCUUUUAAUGAAGCCCCAUAAGUAUUGUGUUAAUUACUUGAGCACAAAAGAAGGUUUGAUUAAUAUAACGCCUUAAUUGCUAGAGGGCUAGCAAUAAGCUGGCUGGGGGGUGUGAUUAGUAUUAAAAAUUAUUUAAUUAUCAAGCGAUAAUAUGUUAUUUUAUGCUUAUGUUAUAAUUUAUAUUUGUGUUUAUGUAAUAUAUUAUGAAUUACUAAUUAUGUUUUAAAUAUAUUUAAUUCUGCUGUACCGUACAUCCGCCUUAGCCGUACAGCAGAUUAUUCUCUUUUAUUUUUAUUUUUUUGCAUAUCUGUAAAAUUAUAAAAUGUUAAGAUAAUGUUUAGAUUAGGUUGUGGGGUGGGGAUAAUUGACGUAUAUUUUAAAUAUGUGUGUUGUUUUUCUCUUUUCUCUUUUCUUUUCUUUGUUAAAAAAAAAACCAAAAAAAAAAAAAAUUGUUUUUUGUCUAGGAUGGCCGUGUAAAGAGUCACGACUUUUGAGACGCAUCCUAAUAGUCUUGUUGUAUUAUAUUUUGAUUUUGAGAUUCAUAGUAAGUUGUUUUUGUUCCCUUUUCUUUGAAUUACUCAAAUUUGUGAACUCUCCACUUGGUUAUUAAGUUAUUUAAUUGUUUACUCAUUUAACAGGUAUUAUUGAAUCAUUCUUCACACACACACUAUGACACAUACUAGUGGGUUGUAAGUUAAAGUUUUACAGCAUUUAGUUCUUUUGAUUUAUUAGGAAUAGUAUCUAAGGUAGUAGAAAGUGUAUAUUUCCAAAAACAAAAAAACAAAAAAACCAAAAAAAAAAAAAAAAAAAUAAAAAAAAAAAAAAAAAAAAAAAAAAAAAAAAAAAAAAAAAAAAAAAAAAAAAAAAAAAAAAAAAAAAAAAAAAAAAAAAAAAAAAAAAAAGCUUCUUCU